UACGUAGGGUGCGAGCGUUGUCCGGAAUUAUUGGGCGUAAAGGGCGCGUAGGCGGUUUGUCGCGUCGGGAGUGAAAACCUUGGGCUUAACUCAGGGCUUGCUUUCGAUACGGGCAGACUAGAGGUAUGCAGGGGAGAACGGAAUUCCUGGUGUAGCGGUGAAAUGCGCAGAUAUCAGGAGGAACACCGGUGGCGAAGGCGGUUCUCUGGGCAUGAUCUGACGCUGAGGAGCGAAAGUGUGGGGAGCGAACAGG
rnacentral:rRNA from 1 species